GCGCCGGUGGUCCAGUGGUAGGACAGUGGCUUCCCAAGCCACUAGCCCGGGUUCGAUUCCCGGCCGGCGCA
rnacentral:tRNA from 1 species